UUAAGCCAUGCGAGUCGAACGAGUUUAGGCUCGUGGCGUACGGCUCAGUAACACGUGGAUAACCUACCCUUAGGACCGGGAUAACCUUGGGAAACUGAGGAUAAUACUGGAUAGGCAAUUAUUUCUGCAAUGGUUUUUUGUUUAAAUGUUUUUUUCGCCUAAGGAUGGGUCUGCGGCCGAUUAGGUAGUUGGUUAGGUAAAGGCUUACCAAGCCGUUGAUCGGUACGGGUUGUGAGAGCAAGAGCCCGGAGAUGGAACCUGAGACAAGGUUCCAGGCCCUACGGGGUGCAGCAGGCGCGAAACCUCCGCAAUGUGAGAAAUCGCGACGGGGGGAUCCCAAGUGCCAUUCUUAACGGGAUGGCUUUUCAUUAGUGUAAAGAGCUUUUGGAAUAAGGGCUGGGCAAGACCGGUGCCAGCCGCCGCGGUAA
rnacentral:rRNA from 1 species